rnacentral:misc_RNA from 1 species
AAGACUAUAGACCUGCGGAGUACCUGCGGAGGGAUCAUUACUGGGUUUUUGGGCUCUGCCCGCCACCCGCCCUCUGUUAUUUUGUGACCAUUGUUUCGGCCAGUGGGGGCGACCCCCGGCCGGCAGUAACUCUGAAGAAUCUUGAAGUCUGAUAAUCUGUUAAUAAAAAAAAAACUUUUAACAAUGGAUCUCU